UUUGUUGUAAUAAUAAUAAAAAAGCAGCAACAUUAUACAAUGUUGGUUUUGUAAAACAGCAACUUAUGACACAAUUUAGGACCAGGAAAGUAUGUUUUCUUAAGAACCGGAGUGAAUAGAGAGACAACGUUUCAGCCUGUUACACAGGUUACACAGACAUGGGCAAAAGCAUUACCUCCUUCACCUUCAGCGGCAGAAAGGACUCUGCAUGUAUCAUCACUGUCUGAGCAACUUCAGGAUUACUGGUUUUAGUGGCAGUAUGGUUACAGGUGUGUACAUGUAUCUCUUGUUAGCUUUUCUUCAACAAGCUGGGAGAGACUUUUCUCAGUCUGCCCACCCUCUUUUCAGAAGCUUCUUUUUAUUCUGUGCACAUCCUUAGAUAAGGAAAACUCUCAAAUCAAAAAUAACUAAAUUGCUUGUUUUGUGUAUUUCUAACAGGGUUCCCACACCUUGGUCAACAUCAAAUUC